CUAUGAAUGAAUCCCUUCGGGAAGGUCGACAUCCGGAGCUAGCAUCCACACGAAACAUGGCCCUGCCAGUGGGUAUAAAGUUAGCACAUGAAUUAAGAACUCUGUCGAUUAAGAAACAUGGCCCUGUCACGGGUAUAAUAGUGACCUUAGCAUGAAUAUCUGUGAGCAAUGUUUUGAAACAUGACAUGAAUACAUGAUGAAAAUGAUUUACGAUUCAUG
rnacentral:lncRNA from 1 species